rnacentral:rRNA from 1 species
AUUGAACGCUGGCGGCAUGCCUAACACAUGCAAGUCGAACGGCAGCACGGUCUAGUUUACUAGAUGGGUGGCGAGUGGCGGACGGGUGAGUAAUGCGCCGGAAUAUGCCUUAAAGAGGGGGAUAACUUGGGGAAACUCAAGCUAAUACCGCAUCAUCUGUAUGGAGAAAAGCUGUGGACCUUCGGGCCUGGCGCUCUCAGAUUAGCCUGCGUCCGAUUAGCUAGUUGGUCGGGUAAAGGCCUACCAAGGCGACGAUCUGUCGCUGGUCUGAGAGGAUGACCAGCCAGACUGGAACUGAGACACGGUACAGACUCCUACGGGAGGCAGCAGUGGGGAAUAUUGGACAAGGGGUGCAACCCUGAUCCAGCAAUGCCGCGUGUGUGAAGAAGGCCUGAGGGUUGUAAAGCACUUUCAGUGGGGAGGAGGAUUGCUAGGUUAAGAGCUAGGUAAUUGGACGUUACCCACAGAAGAAGCACCGGCUAACUCCGUGCCAGCCGCCGCGGUAA